UUUAAUAUAAAUGAUAUUGAUAGUCUUCAUUUUUGUUUUUUUUUUUCUUCUAUCAUCGCCAUAUUUUUUUAUCUAGCUUCCGUAUAUCUCCAUAAAUCCUUCCUCUUUCCUGUAUAAUAUCGCUCCGUUUCAUUAAAGCAUCAAUGAGGUAUCAGAGCGAAUCUAAAAAGAUUCCGGAAGAAUUCUGAAUAAACGACAAGCGAAUAAUGUUGCUUGAACAGGAACCAGAUGUCUCUGCCAUCGUUUGAACGACACCGAAGAAGAUACGUUUAAUUGUCGGGGACACGGUUCACAUAAUACCGUAUGGAAACUCAUUUUGUUCUCUGUAUCCCUCUCGGAAGCGAGCAUUCAUGCAUACACAUAUCUGUGAAAUCUUUGCAUGUAUGCGCGAGUAAUGGCCCGGUACCAUUGUCUCUGAUGAUUCUCUCACAUUGCAUCACACCUAACCUCAUAGAUGUGCGCUUGUACUUAUGCCGGAUGCGGACUGAGGCAACAGCUUCGAACCAGCUAUUAAAUUUCGUAUAGUUUUAGAUAGAUGCGAAUCUGUGUUAUGAAUAAUUGAGUGAAAUUGAAAGUGCAUCAUCAAGAAUUGUUUAUAGUUGCAAUUCAUGGCGAAAGAAUUUGAAACAAGAAAAUUACAAUCACUUAAUUGGAAACUAUAUUCUGAACCGGAUCGGCAAAGAUUAAUGAGGAUAUGAAAUAUCUAAUUAAUAAGGAUAUCGAUGGAAAUGAAAAUUAUAAUUUCGUUAUUGAAAACAAGGCUAGUCAUCGAAAAUGUUGUUUCGCUUCAUUUUUAAUUCAUUUCCGUUGCUUUAAUGUUAACGAGCGGAACACGAUUGGUUAAAAUUAACGAUAAAUAAAAACUGUCUUCUUAUGGAAAGUUCUUGUUGCAUAAGAAAGUGGAAUUGGCAUUGAUGAAUGCCAAAUGACUUAUGGGUCGUGAAUUUUAUUUUAUGACCCGGUACUUGGAAAAAGUUAAAAGGAUGAGUUAGCUUGCAUGAAGCAACAAACAAGAAAUGAUGGUUUCAUGAACAUCAAUAAGUUGUACGAAGUCAAUAAAAGGAUUUUAAUCCAUUGAUAUUA